rnacentral:rRNA from 1 species
AUGCAAGUCGAGCGAAGCUUUUCAGUAGUUUACUACAGAAAAUGACUGAGCGGCGAACGGGUGAGUAACGCGUGAGCAAUCUACCUUAGUUACAGGGAUAGCCCGAGGAAACUCGGAUUAAUACCUGAUAUUCUUUACAUUUCGCAUGAAAUCAAAAGGAAAGGUUAGCCGAACUAAGAUGAGCUCGCGUUCUAUCAGCUAGUUGGUGAGGUAAAAGCUCACCAAGGCAACGACGGAUAGCUGGUCUGAGAGGACGAUCAGCCACACUGGGACUGAGACACGGCCCAGACUCCUACGGGAGGCUGCAGCAGGGAAUAUUGCGCGAUGAGCGAAAGCUUGACGCAGCGACACCGCGUGUGGGAUGACGGAUCUAGGUUUGUAAACCACUUUCAGGAGGGAAGAAAAUGACGGUACCUCCACAAGAAGCCCCGGCCAACUACGUGCCAGCAGCCGCGGUAAUACGUAGGGGGCGAGCGUUGUCCGGAUUUAUUGGGCGUAAAGAGCUCGUAGGCGGUUCAACAAGUCGGUCGUAAAAGUUCAGGGCUCAACCCUGAAAUGUCGAUCGAUACUGUUGUGACUAGGAUACGGUAGAGGUGAGUGGAAUUCCGAGUGUAGCGGUGAAAUGCGUAGAUAUUCGGAGGAACACCAAUUGCGAAGGCAGCUCACUGGGCCGCUAUCGACGCUGAGGAGCGAAAGCUAGGGGAGCAAACAGGAUUAGAUACCCUGGUAGUCCUAGCUGUAAACGAUGGAUACUAGACGUAGGAACUGGAUUGACGGUUUCUGUGUCGUAGCUAACGCGUUAAGUAUCCCGCCUGGGGAGUACGGUCGCAAGACUAAAACUCAAAGGAAUCGACGGGACCCCGCACAAGCGGCGGAGCAUGCGGCUUAAUUCCGAUGAUACCCGUAGAACCUUACCUGGACUUGACAUAUAGGGUCUAGCUAUAGAGUAUAAGUGUGCAUUAGCCGCCCUAUACAGUGUGCAUGGCUGUCGUCAGCUCGUGUCGUGAGAUGUUGGGUUAGUCCCGCAACGAGCGCAACCCUGUCCUAUGGUGCCAGCAUUUAGUUGGGGACUCAUAGAGACUGCCGUGAUAACCCGGAGAGGUGGGGACGACGUCCAGUCU